rnacentral:lncRNA from 1 species
GGAAAGAACAAAGAACUUUUUAAGAAGGGAUGUAUUGGGAGGUCCUGGUCACACACUUGGUGACUGGUCUAGCUAGACUUUAUUGGACCAGGUAAUACCAGUUAUAGUAUAAUCUUCAAUUUAUUUCUUAUCCCUUGGGAGGGAUGUAGAAUGUCAUUCUAUGUAUUGAGGCCUGGUCUUUAACUGAUGUGCCUCCAGCCACAACCUCCAGCUGUACUGUGUUCUCAUUUGCACUUAGCCCCUCGAGGGCCUAACCCCAUCUGGCUGUCUAUAUUUCUACCUAACUUAGCUAUCUGUGAUAGUACUAGCCCCUUGGAUAAACUUGAUUUCCUUUCUACCAACUCUCAUCUCCCAAGUAUUGACUUUCAUGUGGUGAACAGACAAACUGGAGUCAGGUGAUAUAAGGAAAUCUAAAAAAAAACAUGUUCCCUGAUUUUUAACACAUUCAAUAUGAAAAUUCUCAGAAUAAGAGAGAAACACUUUCAAGAAUAUCUGUUCUUACUUAGGAGGUAAGAGAAGCAAGAUGAUCAAAUAAAAGCCAAAAAUUAAUUUCAUUUGUAGAAAA